CCAAUAGCGUAUAUUAAAGUUGCUGCAGUUAAAAAGCUCGUAGUUGAAUUUCGGGACCAUCAUGUCGGUCGUGCCUCGGUACGUACUGGCAUUGUUGGUUUCUCCCUUCUGACGAACCAUGAUGUCAUUUAUUUGGUGUUGUGGGGAAUCAGGACUGUUACUUUGAAAAAAUUAGAGUGUUUAAAGCAGGCUCACGCUUGAAUACAUUAGCAUGGAAUAAUGAAAUAGGACGUUUGAUUCUAUUUUGUUGGUUUCUAGGAUCGACGUAAUGAUUAAUAGGGAUAGUUGGGGGCAUUAGUAUUCAAUUGUCAGAGGUGAAAUUCUUGGAUUUAUUGAAGACUAACUACUGCGAAGGCAUUUGCCAAGGAUGUUUUCAUUAAUCAAGAACGAAAGUUAGGGGAUCGAAGACGAUCAGAUACCGUCGUAGUCUUAACCAUAAACUAUGCCGACUAGGGAUCGGAUGAUGUUAAUUUUUUAAUGACUCAUUCGGCGCCUUACG
rnacentral:rRNA from 1 species